AACGAACGCUGGCGGCAUGGUUAAGACAUGCAAGUCGCACGAAGCGUAUAGCAAUAUGCGUUUAGUGGCGGAAGGGUGAGUAAUGAAUGGGUAACGUACCCCGAACACGGGAAUAACAGCGGGCCGCAAGGCCCUUUGCGAAAGUGCUGCUAAUACCCGAUGAAGUGGCCGGGUCGCAUGACUUGGUCACCAAAGGUGGGGACCGCAAGGCCUACUGGUUUGGGAGCGGCCCAUUUCCAUCAGCUAGUUGGUGAGGUAACGGCUCACCAAGGCAACGACGGGUAGCGGGACUGAGAGGUCGGCCCGCCACAUCGGGACUGAGACACUGCCCGGACACCUACGGGUGGCUGCAGUAACGAAUCUUGGG
rnacentral:rRNA from 1 species